rnacentral:rRNA from 1 species
CCUACGGGAGGCAGCAGUGAGGAAUAUUGGUCAAUGGCCGAGAGGCUGAACCAGCCAAGUCGCGUGAGGGAAGAAUGUCCUAUGGAUUGUAAACCUCUUUUGUCAGGGAGCAAAGUCACCCACGUGUGGGUGUUUGAGAGUACCUGAAGAAAAAGCAUCGGCUAACUCCGUGCCAGCCGCCGCGGUAAUACGGAGGAUGCGAGCGUUAUCCGGAUUUAUUGGGUUUAAAGGGUGCGUAGGCGGGUUAUCAAGUCAGCGGUAAAAUCGUGGAGCACAACUCCAUCCAGCCGUUGAAACUGAUGAUCUUGAGUGGGCGAGAAGUAUGCGGAAUGCGUGGUGUAGCGGUGAAAUGCAUAGAUAUCACGCAGAACUCCGAUUGCGAAGGCAGCAUACCGGCGCCCGACUGACGCUGAAGCACGAAAGCGUGGGUAUCGAACAGGAUUAGAUACCCUAGUAGUC